UUAAGCGACUAAGCGUACACGGUGGAUGCCCUGGCAGUCAGAGGCGAUGAAGGACGUGCUAAUCUGCGAAAAGCGCCGGCGAGGUGAUAUGAACCUUUGACCCGGCGAUGUCCGAAUGGGGAAACCCAGUGUGAUUCGUCACACUAUCGUUAACUGAAUACAUAGGUUAACGAGGCGAACCGGGGGAACUGAAACAUCUAAGUACCCCGAGGAAAAGAAAUCAACCGAGAUUCCCCCAGUAGCGGCGAGCGAACGGGGAGCAGCCCAGAGUCUGAAUCAGCUUGUGUGUUAGUGGAAGCGUCUGGAAAGUCGCACGGUACAGGGUGACAGUCCCGUACACGAAAAUGCACAGGUUGUGAACUCGAAGAGUAGGGCGGGACACGUGGUAUCCUGUCUGAAUAUGGGGGGACCAUCCUCCAAGGCUAAAUACUCCUGACUGACCGAUAGUGAACCAGUACCGUGAGGGAAAGGCGAAAAGAACCCCGGCGAGGGGAGUGAAAAAGAACCUGAAACCGUGUACGUACAAGCAGUGGGAGCACCUUCGUGGUGUGACUGCGUACCUUUUGUAUAAUGGGUCAGCGACUUAUAUUCUGUAGCAAGGUUAACCGUAUAGGGGAGCCGAAGGGAAACCGAGUCUUAACUGGGCGUUAAGUUGCAGGGUAUAGACCCGAAACCCGGUGAUCUAGCCAUGGGCAGGUUGAAGGUUGGGUAACACUAACUGGAGGACCGAACCGACUAAUGUUGAAAAAUUAGCGGAUGACUUGUGGCUGGGGGUGAAAGGCCAAUCAAACCGGGAGAUAGCUGGUUCUCCCCGAAAGCUAUUUAGGUAGCGCCUCGUGAACUCAUCUUCGGGGGUAGAGCACUGUUUCGGCUAGGGGGCCAUCCCGGCUUACCAACCCGAUGCAAACUACGAAUACCGAAGAAUGUUAUCACGGGAGACACACGGCGGGUGCUAACGUCCGUCGUGAAGAGGGAAACAACCCAGACCGCCAGCUAAGGUCCCAAAGUCAUGGUUAAGUGGGAAACGAUGUGGGAAGGCACAGACAGCCAGGAUGUUGGCUUAGAAGCAGCCAUCAUUUAAAGAAAGCGUAAUAGCUCACUGGUCGAGUCGGCCUGCGCGGAAGAUGUAACGGGGCUAAACCAUGCACCGAAGCUGCGGCAGCGACACUAUGUGUUGUUGGGUAGGGGAGCGUUCUGUAAGCCGUUGAAGGUGUGCUGUGAGGCAUGCUGGAGGUAUCAGAAGUGCGAAUGCUGACAUAAGUAACGAUAAAGCGGGUGAAAAGCCCGCUCGCCGGAAGACCAAGGGUUCCUGUCCAACGUUAAUCGGGGCAGGGUGAGUCGACCCCUAAGGCGAGGCCGAAAGGCGUAGUCGAUGGGAAACAGGUUAAUAUUCCUGUACUUGGUGUUACUGCGAAGGGGGGACGGAGAAGGCUAUGUUAGCCGGGCGACGGUUGUCCCGGUUUAAGCAUGUAGGCGGAACGAUUAGGUAAAUCCGGUCGUUUUUAACGCUGAGGUGUGAUGACGAGGCACUACGGUGCUGAAGUAACAAAUGCCCUGCUUCCAGGAAAAGCCUCUAAGCAUCAGGUAACAUCAAAUCGUACCCCAAACCGACACAGGUGGUCAGGUAGAGAAUACCAAGGCGCUUGAGAGAACUCGGGUGAAGGAACUAGGCAAAAUGGUGCCGUAACUUCGGGAGAAGGCACGCUGAUAUGUAGGUGAAGCCCCUGCGGGUGGAGCUGAAAUCAGUCGAAGAUACCAGCUGGCUGCAACUGUUUAUUAAAAACACAGCACUGUGCAAACACGAAAGUGGACGUAUACGGUGUGACGCCUGCCCGGUGCCGGAAGGUUAAUUGAUGGGGUUAGCGGCAACGCGAAGCUCUUGAUCGAAGCCCCGGUAAACGGCGGCCGUAACUAUAACGGUCCUAAGGUAGCGAAAUUCCUUGUCGGGUAAGUUCCGACCUGCACGAAUGGCGUAAUGAUGGCCAGGCUGUCUCCACCCGAGACUCAGUGAAAUUGAACUCGCUGUGAAGAUGCAGUGUACCCGCGGCAAGACGGAAAGACCCCGUGAACCUUUACUAUAGCUUGACACUGAACACUGGUCCUUGAUGUGUAGGAUAGGUGGGAGGCUUUGAAGUGUGGACGCCAGUCUGCAUGGAGCCGUCCUUGAAAUACCACCCUUUAAUGGCUGGUGUUCUAACGUAGACCCGUAAUCCGGGUUGCGGACAGUGUCUGGUGGGUAGUUUGACUGGGGCGGUCUCCUCCCAAAGAGUAACGGAGGAGCACGAAGGUUAGCUAAUCCUGGUCGGACAUCAGGAGGUUAGUGCAAUGGCAUAAGCUAGCUUGACUGCGAGAGUGACGGCUCGAGCAGGUGCGAAAGCAGGUCAUAGUGAUCCGGUGGUUCUGAAUGGAAGGGCCAUCGCUCAACGGAUAAAAGGUACUCCGGGGAUAACAGGCUGAUACCGCCCAAGAGUUCAUAUCGACGGCGGUGUUUGGCACCUCGAUGUCGGCUCAUCACAUCCUGGGGCUGAAGUAGGUCCCAAGGGUAUGGCUGUUCGCCAUUUAAAGUGGUACGCGAGCUGGGUUUAGAACGUCGUGAGACAGUUCGGUCCCUAUCUGCCGUGGGCGCUGGAGAAUUGAGGGGGGCUGCUCCUAGUACGAGAGGACCGGAGUGGACGCAUCACUGGUGUUCGGGUUGUCAUGCCAAUGGCACUGCCCGGUAGCUAAAUGCGGAAAAGAUAAGUGCUGAAAGCAUCUAAGCACGAAACUUGCCCCGAGAUGAGUUCUCCCUGAGACUUUAAGUCUCCUGAAGGAACGUUGAAGACGACGACGUUGAUAGGUCGGGUGUGUAAGCGCAGCGAUGCGUUGAGCUAACCGAUACUAAUGAACCGUGAGGCUUAACCU
rnacentral:rRNA from 1 species